GCCUUCGUGGUGUAGUGGUCAGUACGCUCGACGCGUAACUGAGAGGUCCGUGGUUCGAUUCCCGGCGACGGCG
rnacentral:tRNA from 1 species